rnacentral:rRNA from 1 species
GCCCUUAGAGUUUGAUCCUGGCUCAGAACGAACGCUGGCGGCAGGCUUAACACAUGCAAGUCGAACGAAGCCUUCGGGCUUAGUGGCGGACGGGUGAGUAACGCGUGGGAACGUGCCCUUUGCUACGGGAUAGUCCUGGGAAACUGGGUUUAAUACCGUAUGGUGUCUACGGACUAAAGAUUUAUCGGCAAAGGAUCGGCCCGCGUUGGAUUAGGUAGUUGGUGGGGUAAAGGCCUACCAAGCCGACGAUCCAUAGCUGGUUUGAGAGGAUGAUCAGCCACACUGGGACUGAGACACGGCCCAGACCCCUACGGGAGGCAGCAGUGGGGAAUCUUAGACAAUGGGGGCAACCCUGAUCUAGCCAUGCCGCGUGAUCGAUGAAGGCCUUAGGGUUGUAAAGAUCUUUCGCUGGGGAAGAUAAUGACGGUACCCAGUAAAGAAGCCCCGGCUAACUCCGUGCCAGCAGCCGCGGUAAUACGGAGGGGGCUAGCGUUGUUCGGAAUUACUGGGCGUAAAGCGCGCGUAGGCGGAUUGGAAAGUUGGGGGUGAAAUCCCGGGGCUCACCUCGGAACUGCCUCCAAACUAUCAGUCUUGAGUUCGAGAGAGGUGAGUG